rnacentral:rRNA from 1 species
AUUGAACGCUGGCGGCAUGCUUUACACAUGCAAGUCGAACGGUAACAGGCCGCAAGGUGCUGACGAGUGGCGAACGGGUGAGUAAUGCAUCGGAACGUGCCCAGUCGUGGGGGAUAACUACUCGAAAGAGUAGCUAAUACCGCAUACGAUCUAUGGAUGAAAGCGGGGGACCGUAAGGCCUCGCGCGAUUGGAGCGGCCGAUGUCAGAUUAGGUAGUUGGUGGGGUAAAGGCUCACCAAGCCAACGAUCUGUAGCUGAUCUGAGAGGACGACCAGCCACACUGGGACUGAGACACGGCCCAGACUCCUACGGGAGGCAGCAGUAGGGAAUUUUGGGCAAUGGGCGCAAGCCUGAUCCAGCAAUGCCGCGUGCAGGAAGAAGGCCUUCGGGUUGUAAACUGCUUUUGUACGGAACGAAACGGCUCUGGUUAAUACCCGGGGCUAAUGACGGUACCGUAAGAAUAAGCACCGGCUAACUACGUG